AUCAUUGGGCCACUUCCUCUAAAUGGAAUAAAGCCUUUAAAGUCAGUCAAAAGUAGAGGGAAAAAUAAAUUAAAAAAUGAAAAAACCAAAAAGUCAGUCAACAGAAUCACCUUAAUAUAUAUAUAUAUAUAUAUAAUCUCACUAGGUUUUUGUCCGCCGGACUGCAACCUAACGACUGCUUCCGCCGACGUAAGUCUCUUUCUCCGGCAAGGUAAAUCCGCCAUCAUUUCCGGCCAAAGUUUGAAUAUGGUUUGUUACAGUUCGAGUAUGGCUUCUGCUUGGGAAAUGACUGCAGUGGAGUUCUUACAAGGGUCUAAUAGACAGAAUUUAUUUCCGCCAAGGACUUCACCAAGCUGGAGUAAACGUUUGCUAUGGGGUUCACUCCAAAAUCGAACCCCAUUACUGAGAAUUUCUAAUGGAGGUGGUAUUGUAUCAAGGCCUUCACUUUCAAGAAAGGUCAGGGCUGUUGUUACAGGGGAUGUAAGCAGUUCAAUCGAUGAAUCGAGUAAGUCUGAAGCUUAUGCUGAAAAGGUUAUACAUUUUUACCGGAUUCCGUUGAUUCAAGAUAGUGCAGCUGCUGAACUGUUGAAGUCGAUUCAGACGAAAAUUUCAAGUCAGAUAGUUGGUCUAGAAACUGAACAGUGUUUCAAUAUUGGGCUCGAUUCGAGGCUUUCGGAAGAAAAACUUUCAGUGCUUAAGUGGCUUCUAGGAGAAACAUUUCAGCCUGAUAAUUUGGGGUCUGAGAGUUUCCUUGACAAGGAGAACAAUGGUGGUUUGGAUGAACUGGUAAUUGAAGUUGGCCCUCGGUUGUCUUUUACCACAGCAUGGUCUGCUAAUGCUGUAUCAAUCUGCCGGGCAUGUGGAUUGACAGAGGUGACCCGAUUGGAACGUUCUAGGAGGUACUUGUUGUAUAUUAAGGCAGGGAGUGGUUCGUUGCCAUAUGACCAAAUUAAUGAAUUUGCUGCUAUGGUUCAUGAUCGGAUGACCGAGUGUGUGUAUGACCAGAAGCUCACAUCCUUUGAAGUAAGUGUAGUUCCAGAUGAAGUUCGGUAUGUACCAGUCAUGGAGAGGGGCAGGAAGGCAUUGGAGGAAAUUAAUGACGAAAUGGGCUUGGCCUUUGAUGAACAAGACAUACAGUAUUACACUAGGCUUUUCAAGGAUGACAUAAAGCGGAACCCAACAACUGUUGAACUGUUUGAUAUUGCACAGUCUAAUAGUGAGCACAGCCGUCACUGGUUUUUUACGGGGAAAAUUGUUAUAGAUGGUAAGCCCAUGAAUAGGACUCUAAUGCAGAUAGUGAAGAGCACCUUGCAGGCAAACCCCAACAAUUCAGUCAUUGGCUUCAAGGACAACUCAAGUGCAAUCAAGGGAUUUCGUGUGAAGCCUUUGCGGCCAAUUCAGCCUGGUUCAACUUGUCUGUUAGACACCAGUGUUCAUGAUCUUGACAUCUUAUUUACGGCUGAGACCCACAAUUUCCCAUGUGCGGUUGCACCUUAUCCUGGUGCUGAGACAGGUGCAGGAGGUCGUAUCAGGGAUACCCAUGCAACUGGAAGGGGGUCUUUUGUUGUUGCAGCUACAGCUGGUUACUGUGUUGGGAAUCUUAACAUAGAAGGGUCUUCUGCUCCAUGGGAAGAUUCGUCAUUCACAUAUCCAUCAAACUUGGCUUCUCCUCUGCAGAUCCUCAUUGACGCUAGCAAUGGUGCAUCAGACUAUGGGAACAAAUUUGGGGAACCCUUGAUUCAGGGCUACACGAGAACUUUUGGAAUGAGACUCCCUAGUGGAGAAAGGCGGGAAUGGUUGAAGCCAAUCAUGUUCAGUGGUGGUAUUGGGCAGAUUGAACACACCCACAUAUCAAAAGGAGAGCCUGACAUUGGAAUGCUAGUUGUAAAGAUUGGAGGCCCAGCUUAUCGUAUAGGAAUGGGAGGUGGGGCUGCAUCCAGCAUGGUUAGUGGUCAGAAUGCUGCUGAUCUUGAUUUUAAUGCCGUUCAGCGAGGAGAUGCAGAGAUGGCACAGAAAUUGUAUCGUGUGGUUCGUGCCUGCAUUGAAAUGGGAGAGAACAACCCAAUUAUCAGCAUUCAUGAUCAGGGUGCUGGUGGGAACUGUAAUGUUGUAAAGGAAAUCAUAUACCCCAAGGGUGCUGAAAUUGAUAUUAGGGCAGUUGUAGUUGGCGAUCACACUAUGUCUGUCUUGGAGAUAUGGGGUGCAGAAUAUCAGGAACAAGAUGCCAUAUUGGUGAAGCCUGAAAGCCGCAGCCUCUUAGAGUCAGUUUGUGAAAGAGAAAGGGUCUCUAUGGCCGUUCUUGGAACAAUUAAUGGCAAGGGACAUGUUACUUUAGUUGACAGCAUAGCUAUUGAAAGGUGUCGUUCAGAUGGACUCCCUCCCCCACCACCUGCUGUGGAUCUCGAGCUUGAGAAAGUCCUCGGGGACAUGCCUCAAAAAACUUUUGAAUUUUAUCACAUGGCUCAUGCGCUAGAGCCACUGGAUAUUGCUCCUGGGAUCACAUUGAUGCAUUCUCUGAAGAGGGUCUUGGGGCUUCCUUCUGUCGGUUCGAAACGCUUUUUGACGACUAAAGUUGAUAGAUGUGUAACAGGUCUUGUGGCACAGCAACAAACUGUGGGUCCUUUGCAAAUUACUCUUUCUGAUGUUGCAGUUAUUGCACAAACCUAUGCUGACUUUACUGGGGGUGCAUGCGCAAUUGGGGAGCAACCAAUCAAGGGUCUUUUGAAUCCAAAAGCAAUGGCACGACUAGCUGUUGGAGAAGCACUCACAAAUCUUGUUUGGGCGAAAGUUACUUCUCUUUCUGAUGUUAAAGCCAGUGGCAAUUGGAUGUAUGCUGCCAAACUUGAUGGGGAGGGAGCAGCCAUGUAUGAUGCUGCUAUGGCUCUUUCUGAAGCUAUGAUUGAGCUUGGUAUUGCUAUUGAUGGGGGGAAAGAUAGUCUUUCAAUGGCGGCCCAUGCAUCAGGGGAGGUUGUCAAGGCUCCAGGAAAUCUUGUUAUCAGUGUGUAUGUCACUUGUCCUGAUAUAACCAAAACUGUGACCCCAGAUUUGAAGCUUGGAGAUGAAGGUAUUUUGCUUCACAUUGAUUUGGCGAAAGGAGAGCGGCGUCUUGGUGGAUCUGCUCUUGCUCAGGUUUUUGACCAAAUUGGAGAUGAAUGCCCUGAUCUUGAUGAUGUUCCUUACCUUAAAAGAGUGUUUGAGGGGGUUCAGAAUCUUCUCUCAGAUGGGCUGGUCUCUGCUGGUCAUGAUAUCAGUGACGGCGGGCUGAUUGUUUGUGCCCUGGAGAUGGCUUUCGCUGGUAAUUGUGGCAUCUGCUUGGACUUAGCUUCAUUAGGGAAGAACCUCUUCCAAACACUUUUUGCAGAAGAGCUUGGUCUUAUUCUUGAGGUUAGCAAGAAUAACCUGGCUAUGGUUAUGGGAAAGCUUCACAGUGUCGGCAUACCUGCUGAGAUCAUUGGAGAAGUAACUGCUGCACCAAUAAUAGAAUUAAAAGUUGAUGGGGUGACUCAUUUCAGUGAGAAAACUUCUCACCUUAGGGACAUGUGGGAAGAAACCAGUUUUCAGCUGGAAAAGUUUCAAAGAUUGGCUUCUUGUGUGGAUUUAGAAAAGGAAGGGUUGAAAAAUAGGCAAGAACCUUCAUGGGCAUUGUCUUUCACUCCGACCUCUACGGAUGAGAAAUACAUGGCCACUACUUCAAAACCAAAAGUAGCCGUUAUUCGAGAGGAAGGAAGCAAUGGGGACAGAGAAAUGUCUGCUGCUUUUUAUGCUGCUGGUUUUGAACCAUGGGAUGUAACAAUGUCAGACCUUCUUAAUGGAGUCACAUCUCUGCAUGAAUUCCGUGGGAUUGUGUUUGUGGGAGGUUUUAGCUAUGCUGAUGUGCUUGAUUCUGCAAAAGGGUGGUCAGCUUCUAUACGAUUCAAUCAGCCUCUUCUAAAUCAGUUUCAAGAAUUUUACAAACGGUCUGAUACCUUUAGUCUUGGGGUUUGCAAUGGAUGCCAGCUUAUGGCUCUAUUGGGGUGGGUUCCUGGCCCCCAAGUUGGAGGCGUCCUUGGUGUUGGUGGGGAUCCAUCACAGCCAAGGUUUGUCCACAAUGAGUCAGGACGUUUUGAAUGUCGUUUCACAAGUGUGACAAUAAAGGACUCCCCAGCUCUAAUGUUCAAAGGAAUGGCUGGUAGUACCUUGGGUGUGUGGGCUGCCCAUGGUGAGGGGAGAGCAUAUUUCCCUGAUGAUGAUAUUUUGGAUCGUAUGCUUGAGUCAAAUUUGGCCCCAGUAAGAUAUUGUGAUGAUAAUGGGAAACCAACUGAAGUAUACCCGUUCAAUCUGAAUGGUUCUCCCUUGGGUGUGGCAGCCAUUUGUUCUCCAGAUGGGAGGCAUCUUGCCAUGAUGCCUCAUCCAGAACGCUGCUUCUUGAUGUGGCAGUUCCCCUGGUAUCCGAAGCAUUGGAGUGUGGAUAGGAAAGGCCCUAGCCCAUGGUUGCAGAUGUUUCAAAAUGCUAGAGAGUGGUGCUCUUGAGCAAUGUUAGUUUUAACUGCCUCAAAUUCUUGCCUUUUUUUUUUUUUUUUGAAGUCCAGUAACUGGAGAGGUAUUAUUUUAUUUUGUCACUUAGGAGGCUUUAAAGCUUUUGGAGGUCAAGAUAUCGAUUCAGUUGUGCGAUUCUAUCUUUAUGGUGACAUCAAUGGCUCAUAAAGGUUUUGGAGGUCAGGCCAUGGAUUUGUUUCUUAAUUUAUUUGCAGAGAAUACAGACAGAACUUGAAUGGGAAGCCCAGAUGUUUUUGUCCCCCUCUCUUUUAAACUUCUGUGUUGCUCCCUUUACCACCUUUAUGUUCUUCCCUUUCAUACCUAAAUCCGUUGUAUACAACUUUUAAUAUUUCUAAUACAGAAAUAGCGUAUUUAAGGCCAUGUUCUUUGAUAGUUUGUAUGAAGGCGUUUGUUAUGAGGAUAUCAAUGUUACCAUCCAAUCCAAUCCACAAUUGAGUAAAAUUCUGCCAGAGGAAGCAUAUAUGAAUUGUUGAUAGUUCAUUACCUUGCUGAAGUGUAGUACUGUUUUUUUACACAGUCGAUUGAAAAAUGAUAAUUUAUAUGUAGAAUGAUAAUGACGAACUGAGAAUUUACUGUACAUUGAAAUUACCUCACUG